AUUCUGCGACCAAUUUUCGAUUCCCAAUCACAAUUACAAAAAAUACAAGGUGUUUGGGAGAAUAUUUGAUUAUUUCUUGGUGAAUUCUCUGUGCAAGAACAUAAUUCGUUGUUCGCCAUUCAGCCACCUGGAAAAUAUUUUUCUCAAUAUUGCAAGUUGCAAUGUAAAAGAAGUGAAUGCUUUUGGAUCUAAAAAUGGAAUGAACGGCCACAUUGCUUCAAUGAGAAUUCGUCCCAUUUCGUCAAAUUUUUCAUUUCCCUUCUCAAAAAGUGGAAUGAAUACUUCAUUAAGAAGAAGUCGACAAAGAAUUCGACAUUCCUCGACAGUUCCAUUGCAAAGAUUAUAUCUGUAAGCAUAUAACCAAUUACGCGCCAAAAGUGAACAAUUCCUUCGAGUUCUUCUUCGGUUGCCUUAACACCCAAUUGUUCAGCGGACAUUAAAGUAAAACCGAUAAAUCCAAAUUGUGUGAUUGCCAUGUCGGUUUGAGUUAUUCUUCGGAGACCACCUUGAAAACAUUUUCGCGAUGCUAAACAAUGUUUUCUUCUCACAGUUCUCAACGAAUUAAAGAAUCUUGAAGAAAAGUCACGUGAAUAAAUAUAACACAUCAUCACGAUUGAAUAGAGUAAAGCGGAAUCAUUAACUCACACGUAAAUUUACGUGAUAUGAAUUUACAUGAAAAUAAAUUAAAUGAAAGUUUGACGAUAUACUUUCAAUUCUAAAUAUUAUAAAAAUAUUUCUAUUUCUAUAAUUAUAAAAAAACAACUAUUUUGGCUUUAAUUUAA